UGAAAUGUCAUGAAAAUACCAUCUACAACACACUGCACAACUUUAACCAUUCCAAUUUUGUCAUCCAUUUAUUUGUCUGAUUUUUCUCUUCUCUUAUCCUUCAUUUUGGGGUCUUUGAAACGUUAUAAGAUAUAUUUUUUCUUCAGGACCUUCAAGAUGUGAACUUGAUUUGAAUAACCAGAACAUCAAAGAAAAAACAAUAGAUAAAUGGGAGGGAGGAAGGGGGGUUACCUUGUGUGAAGGUUAGGCCAAUUCUAGCUUAUAUGUAAAUUUAAUUUUUACAAUUUAAAAAUAGUGUCAGACAUCAAAAAGUGUACCAGGUAAUGAAGGCAAUUAUAUGAACAAUGUUCAUAAAGAUCUACUCUUGUGAUAUACUAUGAUUUUUUUCUCAAUUAAAAAUAUAAGAACAUUAAAAGAAGCCUCAUUAAGUAUAGCUUUAUGACUCACUAAAUUAUUCUCUGUCCCAAAUCCUGAGCCCUUUUAUUUUACUAAUUUCUAUAGUUAUAAGAAGUCACUCAUUGUUUUUUUUACAUGUAUUCUGCAUAUUAAAGUGAAUUUUCAUAUUCAUGAGUUGCGUCGGUGAUAAUUUCUCGAUCCUAAGGACAACAAAAAGAUAAGUAGACUUUCAUCAAUGAAAAUUUUCGAAAAAUACAACUAAACAAUUAAGAGUAGAACUUCACUUAUGAAGAAGCUCGAUUUAAAAAAAAAAAAUAGUACCUGAAAAUAAUAGCAGUGUCAUUCCGAAAUAUNNNN
rnacentral:lncRNA from 1 species